rnacentral:rRNA from 1 species
UACGUAGGGGGCAAGCGUUGUCCGGAUUUAUUGGGCGUAAAGGGCGUGUAGGCGGUUUGGUAGGUCCGCUGUGAAAACUCGAGGCUCAACCUCGAGACGCCGGUGGAAACCAUCAGACUAGAGUCCGGAAGAGGAGAGUGGAAUUCCUGGUGUAGCGGUGAAAUGCGCAGAUAUCAGGAAGAACACCCGUGGCUAAGGCGGCUCUCUAGUACGGUACUGACGCUGAGACGCGAAAGCGUGGGGAGCGAACAGG